ensembl:lncRNA
GAGAUAGACCUCACCCUGGAGAGAGAGACAGAGUUAAUACUGAGAGACCCUGACCUAGAGAGAUAGACCUCACCCUGGAGAGAGAGACAGAGUUAAUACUGAGAGACCCUGACCUAGAGAGAUAGACCUCACCCUGGAGAGAGAGACAUGGGGUUAAUACUGAGAGACCCUGACCUAGAGAGAUAGACCUCACCCUGGAGAGAGAGACAGAGUUAAUACUGAGAGACCCUGACCUAGAGAGAUAGACCUCACCCUGGAGAGAGAGACAUGGGGUUAAUACUGAGAGACCCUGACCUAGAGAGAUAGACCUCACCCUGGAGAGAGAGACAGAGUUAAUACUGAGAGAC